rnacentral:rRNA from 1 species
CAGUCGCCACGGGAAUACGAGGGGGGCAAGCGUUGUUCGGAAUUAUUGGGCGUAAAGGGCGCGUAGGCGGUUUGGCAAGUUUGGUGUGAAAUCUUCGGGCUCAACUCGAAGUCUGCAUCGAAAACUGCCGGGCUUGAGUAUGGGAGAGGUGAGUGGAAUUUCCGGUGUAGCGGUGAAAUGCGUAGAUAUCGGAAGGAACACCUGUGGCGAAAGCGGCUCACUGGACCAUUACUGACGCUGAGGCGCGAAAGCUAGGGGAGCAAACAGGAUUAGAUACCCCCGUAGUCCCUGUCUCUUAUAC